GCAGUGUAUUCACAUAAAUUAAUAACAAUAAUAAAGAUACUGUAUUUUUUUCAAAAGAACCUCAGUCUUUUAACAAAUACAUUAAUUGGACUGAAAUAAACAGAGCAGUUAAUUUAAAGAUAAAUUAAGAAAAGAAAUUCUUUCUGUUGAAUUUGGAGAGUAAAGACAUGAGUCAGAAGAGGAAAGUAUGAGAAGAAGAUUUGAUUGAGUGAUUCAAAGACAGUAAAAGUAAAGGUUCCUUCCGUGUCUGGUGAUCCAUGGCCUAAAUGGGUGAUUGCUAGCAGACAUGUAUCUGGUCCCAAAGAAAACAGACAUUUUUGCUGUAUCAUGGUUUCUAUCAUCCUCAUGGGGACCAAAUUUUAUUAGAUUUAACUACCCUCAAGCUACUUUAGGUACUUUCCUCACUGCACAUGACUGUCUCCUGAUGCCAAAUAUUUCUUCAAUGCAUUCUCCACUUCAUCUCUCACCUUGUCGUCUUCUAACAUUGUGAGAAUGUGAACCCCGUUUAUGCAUCAUUUCUCAAGUUCUUUCACACCACCAAGUUUAAAAUGAACCUCAACACUUAAAUGCUUCUGCUGCUGCUGCUGGCCAUAGCAUUGUUGAAAUUACACGUAAAGAGGUACAGAUAGAAGGAAAGCGAUGAGCUACUUGGCAUUCCCAUUGCAAGUUGGGGAAAUCAUAACUAUUGAAGAAGCGUGAGCUGAGUGUACGACUGUGUGUGAGAUUGUGGUCCAAGUUCAAAAUCUGACACCCUGCUCCAUGAUUCAAAACUAGAAUGAUGUGAAAAAUUAAUGUACACACUAGAUCAAAUAGGUUGUAGAUUUUCUUAUGAAUGAGAGAACAGAAUGUGAAC
rnacentral:sRNA from 1 species